rnacentral:rRNA from 1 species
GUAACGAGCGCAACCCUUGUCCUUAGUUACCAGCACGUUAUGGUGGGCACUCUAAGGAGACUGCCGGUGGACAAACCGGAGGAAGUGGGGAUGACGUCAAGUCAUCAUGGCCCUUACGGCCUGGGCUACACACGUGCUACAAUGGUCGGUACAAAGGGUUGCCAAGCCGCGAGGUGGAGCUAAUCCCAUAAAACCGAUCGUAGUCCGGAUCGCAGUCUGCAACUCGACUGCGUGAAGUCGGAAUCGCUAGUAAUCGUGAAUCAGAAUGUCACGGUGAAUACGUUCCCGGGCCUU